AGAGUUUGAUCAUGGCUCAGAACGAACGCUGGCGGCGUGGAUAAGACAUGCAAGUCGAACGCUGACAUUUAGGUAGCAAUAUUUGAAUGUUGGAGUGGCGCAAGGGUGUGUAACACGUGGGCAAUCUACCAUGAAGACUGGGAUAACUCGCUGAAAGGCGAGCUAAUACCGGAUGUGAAUGUAAAUUCAAAGUUGGGGACCGCAAGGCCUGACGCUUUAUGAUGAGCCCGCGGCCUAUCAGCUAGUUGGUGAGGUAACGGCUCACCAAGGCUAAGACGGGUAGCUGGUCUGAGAGGACGACCAGCCACACUGGAACUGAGACACGGUCCAGACACCUACGGGUGGCAGCAGUCGAGAAUUUUUCUCAAUGGGGGAAACCCUGAAGGAGCGACGCCGCGUGGGGGAUGAAUGGCUUCGGCCCGUAAACCCCUGUCAUUUGCGAACAAAUUGCUUCACCUAACACGUGAAUCAUUGAUUGUAGCGAAAGAGGAAGGGACGGCUAACUCUGUGCCAGCAGCCGCGGUAAUACAGAGGUCCCAAGCGUUGUUCGGAUUCACUGGGCGUAAAGGGUGCGUAGGCGGUGAGGUAAGUCUGACGUGAAAUCUCCGGGCCUAACCCGGAAACUGCGUUGGAUACUAUCUCGCUAGAGGAAUGGAGGGGAGACUGGAAUACUUGGUGUAGCAGUGAAAUGCGUAGAUAUCAAGUGGAACACCAGUGGCGAAGGCGAGUCUCUGGACAUUUCCUGACGCUGAGGCACGAAAGCCAGGGGAGCAAACGGGAUUAGAUACCCUCGUAGUCC
rnacentral:rRNA from 1 species